UACGGGGGGGGCAAGCGUUGUUCGGAAUUACUGGGCGUAAAGGGCUCGUAGGUGGCCAACUAAGUCAGACGUGAAAUCCCCAGGCUCAACUUGGGAACUGCGUCUGAUACUGGAUGGCUUGAAUUCGGGAGAGGGAUGCAGAAUUCCAGGUGUAGCGGUGAAAUGCGUAGAUAUCUGGAGGAACACCGGUGGCGAAGGCGGCGUUCUGGACUGUUUCUGACACUGAAAAACGAAAGCCAGGGGAGCAAACGGG
rnacentral:rRNA from 1 species